AUUGAACGCUGGCGGCAGGCCUAACACAUGCAAGUCGAGCGGCUGCGUGGAGCUUGCUCCCUGUUUCAGCGGCGGACGGGUGGGUAAUUCCUAGGAAUCUCCCUGUUUGUUGGUUACAACGUUUCGACAUGAACGCUCAUACCGCAUACGUCCUUCGGGAGUACGUGUGGGAUCUUCGGACCUUCCGCUCUCAGAUGAUCCUAGGUCGGAUUAGCUAGUUGGUGAGGUAAAGGCUCACCAAGGCGACGAUCCGUAACUGGUCUGAGAGGAUGAUCAGUCACACUGGAACUGAGACACGGUCCAGACUCCUACGGGAGGCAGCAGUGGGGAAUAUUGGACAAUGGGCGAAAGCCUGAUCCAGCCAUGCCGCGUGGGUGAAGAAGGUCUUCGGAUUGUAAAGCACUUUAGGUGGGGAGGAAGGGCAGUAAGUUAAUACCUUGCUGUUUUGACGGUACCAACAGAAUAAGCACCGGCUAACUUCGUG
rnacentral:rRNA from 1 species